UACGUAGGGUCCGAGCGUUUGUCCGGAAUUACUGGGCGUAAAGAGCUCGUAGGUGGUUUGUCGCGUUGUUCGUGAAAACUCACAGCUUAACUGUGGGCGUGCGGGCGAUACGGGCAGACUUGAGUACUGCAGGGGAGACUGGAAUUCCUGGUGAUAGCGGUGAAAUACGCAGAUAUCAGGAGGAACACCGGUGGCGAAGGCGGGUCUCUGGGCCGAUAUUGACGCUGGAGGUGCGAAAGCGUGGGGAGCAAACAGG
rnacentral:rRNA from 1 species